rnacentral:rRNA from 1 species
UACGAAGGGGGCGAGCGUUGUUCGGAAUCACUGGGCGUAAAGGGCGCGUAGGCGGCCCUUCUUGUCGCGUGUGAAAGCCCCGGGCUCAACCUGGGAAUGGCGCGCGAGACGGGGGGGCUGGAGUUCGGGAGAGGAGCGUGGAAUUCCCAGUGUAGAGGUGAAAUUCGUAGAUAUUCGGAAGAACACCAGUGGCGAAGGCGGCUCACUGGUCCGGUACUGACGCUGAGGUGCGAAAGCGUGGGGAGCAAACAGG